CUUGAAACUCAGCCAUCAAGCCAAGAGGGGCCACACAACCUGGAAAGAAGCCAGUCAGGACUAGUUGUGGUUUGCCUGUGAAAUGCCCCCCACAAUACUCUGCAGCUGUGCUAUUUGGGGAGGGUGUGGGGACUUUAGAAAGUGGAGCUAGGUUGGAAGAUGGGUGUUGGUGACUGCCUUUGAAGGUUAUGCCUGUCCCUGGUCUAGUCCUCCAUCUUGGUUUGCUGUCCACUAUUAUGUGAGCAGGCUCCUCUUCCACAGCUCCUGCUGCCAAGACGCUGACGCUCUGCUUCACCACAGGAAACUCUUCUUUAGAGUCUCUGGUAGUUAUUUUUAUCUCAGUCACAGGACAAGCAACUAAGAGGGAACUCAUGGUGGUGUGUUUCAGCCCCAACCACAGCUUGAGGUCAGCAGGGCAGAGAUGAGCCUCUCCACAAGCUCCACACAACCCCACAACUGUGAGGUGAAUGAGCUGUGGCUGUUUUUACCAGCUUCAGGGUGUUACACACCCAUGGGUGAUUGCAAUGGUACUUGUUGGGGCCUCGGGAAGGCAGAGGGAACAUACCCAUAACACUUGAGUAGGUCAUUGCCGUCUGGCCCUGGCCUGCACUUGGUAAUCAGUCUACAAGGUUCCUCACAGACAAGCUCCUCGGGUUCUUUGGGAAACGUGAGCUACUGUGAUGUCGUAUGAGUGGUCCCAGGAGGCUCAAGUGUUUGAACAUCCAUUUCCUCCUUGGUGGCAGUGAUGAGGGAGGUGACAGACCUUUGAGGGUUAAUGGUUCUGAUAGCCCUCUGAUCCACCCCACUGUGGAUGGCUGCUGCUUCCACUCCUGCUGCUGUGGUCAGAGCUACUCUGGUAGAGAAGUACGACCUCCUGAAACAGCAGGCCCACACCAGCCUGUUCUGCUCUAUGCUGUCCUUGAUGGGUUUUGUUUUAAAAGGCACACAUACAGCUGCUCCCUGGGGAGACAAGAAAGGGAGGUAACACAUCUCAGUGAAACCAGGCAGUGACAGGCAAGCCAACUGUCUGGACUUUUCACAUACAGGGAAGCUGAUGCUGGAGUCCAGGGCUCAGGCUCAGGGUAUGUGCCAGUUGCAUGAACUCAGAGGGCCAGGGCUAUGCUUCUGUGGCCUCUGAAUCCAUCUUCCUGAUAUUAUCCAGCCAGAAAGCAAAACCGUGUGUGUGAGUGUGUGAGUGUGUGUGUGUGUGUGUGUGUGUGUGUGUGUGUCUGAUGAUUGUGACAGGACUCAGCCAGUUCUCAUUUCUGUCAGGUCUGAGGGUGAUGCUGCCCCAGGUAUGGCCUGCAAGCAAGGGAGCUGUGCAGAGGGGUUCAGGGCUUCUGGUGUGAGAGGGGUCCUUCAUCCUCUUUGUCCUAGUAACUUCCGGUUUUCUGCUCCAACUCUUACACAGGUGACCUGCAGAGACUGAGAAUUCAGUCCGCCCCAUAAUCCUGCACCCUGCAGGGUACAGCUUGCUUGUGAUCUACAGGCACAGCAGCCCUGCCACAGGAAACUGGCUUUUCUCUUCUAGCAGCCCCACGUGUUUCCUGGUUUUCUCACUCUGCCUUGAACUGAGAAUUUAAAAUCCCUUGUAUGUCAUUCUAAAAAUGCAAUCUUCCUGGUGCUGGCAGACACCCGCGUCCCACCCCACAGCCCCAAGCUCCACCUUGGUGCCGUUCUGAGCUGUUCCUUGGUUGCCUGACUCUGCUUUCCAGAAAGGUUCUAUUCCAGGCAGUGACCAGGAUUUAACCAGAAGCCAGACCAGGCAGGGUAGGAAGCGAGUGUCCUGUCACAUAGCCCUGGGGUCAUCAACCAAAAUCGUUGAAAGAGUCAGAGGAAUAAAGAGGGCAAAUUUCUCUACAAGUCUGUGGGAGGCCACACCAGGCUUUCCUUGGCUUCCAAAGGCGACAUACUGUGAUCCUCGGCUGCGUGGCUGGCAGAACAUCACCCCAAUCUCUGCCUCCACCUUCACACCACAUCUCCCACUGUCUGCGUGCAAAUCUUCUUUAUAAAGAAUCAUCACAUUGGACUAAGGCUUGCCUCAACCCAACUGUACCUACAACAGCCCUAUUUCAACUAAGAACACGAAGUACUGGAGGUCAGAUCAUCUGUAUGAGGCUUUGUGUGUGUUUGAGUACUGCUUGCACACACACACACACACACACACACACACACACACACACACACACACCUGGAACUGGAGUUAAAGAUGGUUAAGAUUCACCAUCUUUGGGGGGGGGGUAUGCCUCUGUUAGAGGAGCUAGGUCUAAACCAUCUCUCCAGCCCAUCAGCGUGCGUUAUAGGACAAACAACUCAAUCCAUGCUGCCACAGAGCCUUUGCUGCACUGGGUAACCGGUGUUGGAUUCUGAGUGAGGCUGUUUCUGGAACUGGACUGAGCCAACAGAGGCAUCCUUGUUGGGUUGGAUACUUCACCUAGAGGCUAUUUAAUGCUGAGGACCACGUGCUUCGAAAUCACCGAAGGGUUGCAGGAAUGGAGGCUGGGGAAUACCAUCCCUGGAUUCCAGCACAGCAGCUUCCACAAGAGCCAUGAGAGCACACAGAGGCCACAGAUGCAGGCCUGCAACUGAGGUAACAUGAGGUCAGGGGAGGGGCAGAGCUGUCAAUCAAUGUGCACCAAGCGGUGAGGUGCAAGCUGGCUACAGGCAGGAUGCAGGCAGGUUAUAGGUGGAAAGGUGAAAGGGGAUAGUUAGGCUGUAGGUCCGCAGGUGGGGCUGUGAACAGGCCUGUGUACUGUCUCCAUUGAGCCCGCCUUCUGCUGAGUGAAAGAAGGCCAGACUAAGACAGUGAUAACACACCUUUCCCAUCUCCAGAAAGUUUCUUAUAGGGAAUCUAACUUGGAUCUCUUCCAUGACUUCCAGCUUUGCAACAUCGGCUAGCAGUGGGGCUGACACAGUGCCAAGCCAUUCACAGGCAGUCUGC